rnacentral:rRNA from 1 species
CGUAUAUUAAAGUUGUUGCAGUUAAAAAGCUCGUAGUUGGAUUUGUGGAGGUUUCCAUGGUCCAUUUUUGGUACUUUUGGAAACCUCCAUCCUUGGGUGGAACCUGUGUGGCAUUAGGUUGUCGUGCAGGGGAUGCUCAUCAUUUACUGUGAAAAAAUCAGCGCGUUCAAAGCAGGCUUAUGCCGUUGAAUGUAUUAGCAUGGAAUAAUAAGAUAGGACCUUGGUACUAUUUUGUUGGUUUGUGCACCGAGGUAAUGAUUAAUAGGGAUAGUUGGGGG